GGCCCGUUGGUCAAGUGGUUAAGACACCGCCCUUUCACGGCGGUAACACGGGUUCGAAUCCCGUUACGGGUCACCA
rnacentral:tRNA from 1 species